UGGUCGACGUGGUGCGCGGGGGCGAGCACGCCCUGCUGAUCGCGCCGACCGGCGGCGGCAAGACGCUGGCGGGGUUCCUGCCCUCGCUGAUCGACC
rnacentral:tRNA from 1 species